rnacentral:lncRNA from 1 species
CAUUAACAGUGGCGGUGCUGUUGAUACGGAACAAUAGCGGAUAAAUCGUCUUGAGGUAUAAAAGGGUUUGGUUGGGUUUUGGGGAGACCCAUUUGCUCCGCCUUUUCUCUGCUCCCACAAGACACCUAUGAACGGUGAUCGACAGUUCCACUCAACUUCCACUGUCUGUCUCUUUCUCGCAUACUUUUUGUAGUUGCUUUCUUCUCUGUUUGAAGGUAAUGUUGUUCGCGAUGUUAUUUGUGAAUUUUUGUUGGUUGUACUAAUUACCAAACAGUCGAAGAUUGCAUGAUCCUGUUACUCAGGCAUGACCUUUCAAGUCUCUUUAUCAAUGUAUAUUUAGUGACAUGA